UUCCUUUAGUAUAUAUUUAAAGGUAUUGCCUGCCCUAUGUUAAAAUAAAUGGCUGCGGUAUCUUAACUGCACUAAGGUAGCAUAAUUAAUUGUCUUUUAAAUGGUGACCUGUUUGAACGGCUUAAUGAGAAAAAAAUUUUCUUUUAAUUAUAAUAAAAUUAUAUUUCAAGGUUAAAAUACCUGAUUAUAAAAAAAAGACGAGAAGACCCUGUUGAGUUUUACAUUGAUAAUAAUGUUAAAAUGGGAAAUUUAACCUUUUUCUAAGGUUUAGUAGAUCCUGGAAUAGAAAUAUAUUUUGGAUAUAGGAUAAAGUUACCACAGGGAUAACAGGACAAUAUUUGCUAAGAGUUCUGAUCGAAGUAAAUGGUUGUUACCUCGAUGUUGAAUCGAAAUAUCUUUUUGAUGCAGCAGUCAAAAAAGUGGGUCUGUUCGACCUUUUAAAUUUC
rnacentral:rRNA from 1 species